rnacentral:lncRNA from 1 species
CCAGAUUCAUCAAUCCAGUAUGAGACCCUUGGACUUGUUAGUGAAGGUUGGAACACUUGACCUUCUCUAAUUCAUGACAUAUGAACAUUUGGAGUUCAGGGUUGCAUUUUCUGCAAUACUUAUACAUGACUGCCUGCUGAUACUAAAACAAUCGCAUGCAAUUGUAUCCUAAAGGCAUGCAAAUGGAAAAUUAUUGUCUGUUAAGUGAUCUAAACUAAAGAUACAAUGUUAGUUGAUAACAUUUAUAUAUAGGAGGAAGUGAUAUCAGAUGAGUGUGAAUGAGAAGAAUCUUGGUGGUGCUAUAGGAGGAAGUGAUAUCAGAUGAGUGUGAAUGAGAAGAAUCUUGGUGGUGCUAUUACAUUCUUGGAGCAUACCUCCGAUUGACUAUUUGGAAGUUCUGAUGACCCUCAAGUAUAUUUUCUAAAAACAUUUCCUUGUCUCCUAUUGUAGAUGACAUUUGACAAAAUACUCAAGAGUAUGCGUUUGGGAUCUGUAACUUACCACUGAACUUCUGUUGUUCAGUAUGAUAUUUUGGUUGAACAGCCAUAUAUCUCUAAUAUGUUGGAUAACCUGUCUGACAGUUGUUGCAAUGCUAACAACAGUUAGCCUUGCUGAAUGAUAGCUGAGAUUGCACUUACUAGAAGACACACACACUGUGAAUUGCGACUAUGGUCUUAUUUGCUAUUAGUUCCAUUUCAGUUUCAAAACAUAUUUUUGGCUGCCUACUCCAAUGGGAAACUAAAGUGCAUGUGUUGCCAAAAGUGAUGAACCUUCUUUUUUAUCAGUAUGCUUUUGCUACACUUGCUUUACAGAAAAUGGCAAUAAGUACAGGAGGCCAGCCAAACAGGAGCACUGUGAUGAA